rnacentral:rRNA from 1 species
UACGUAGGUAGCAAGCGUUAUCCGGAAUUAUUGGGCGUAAAGCGCGCGUAGGCGGUUCUUUAAGUCUGAUGUGAAAGCCCACGGCUCAACCGUGGAGGGUCAUUGGAAACUGGAAAACUUGAGUGCGGAAGAGGAAAGUGGAAUUCCAUGUGUAGCGGUGAAAUGCGCAGAGAUAUGGAGGAACACCAGUGGCGAAGGCGACUUUCUGGUCUNGUAACUGACGCUGAUGUGCGAAAGCGCGGGGAUCAAAC